rnacentral:rRNA from 1 species
AUUGAACGCUGGCGGCAUGCCUUACACAUGCAAGUCGAACGGUAACAGGUUAAGCUGACGAGUGGCGAACGGGUGAGUAAUAUAUCGGAACGUGCCCAGUCGUGGGGGAUAACGCAGCGAAAGCUGUGCUAAUACCGCAUACGAUCUAUGGAUGAAAGCGGGGGAUCGCAAGACCUCGCGCGAGUGGAGCGGCCGAUAUCAGAUUAGCUAGUUGGUGGGGUAAAGGCCCACCAAGGCGACGAUCUGUAGCUGGUCUGAGAGGACGACCAGCCACACUGGAACUGAGACACGGUCCAGACUCCCACGGGAGGCAGCAGUGGGGAAUUUUGGACAAUGGGGGCAACCCUGAUCCAGCAAUGCCGCGUGCAGGAAGAAGGCCUUCGGGUUGUAAACUGCUUUUGUACGGAACGAAACGGCUCUGGUUAAUACCCGGGGCUAAUGACGGUACCGUAAGAAUAAGCACCGGCUAACUACGUGCCAGCCGCCGCAGUAA